rnacentral:rRNA from 1 species
GAUGAACGCUGGCGGCGUGCCUAAUACAUGCAAGUCGAGCGAACAGAUGAGGAGCUUGCUCCUCUGACGUUAGCGGCGGACGGGUGAGUAACACGUGUAUAACCUACCUAUAAGACUGGGAUAACUUCGGGAAACCGGAGCUAAUACCGGAUAAUAUAUUGAACCGCAUGGUUCAAUAGUGAAAUACGGUUUUGCUGUCACUUAUAGAUGGAUCCGCGCCGCAUUAGAUAGUUGGUAAGGUAACGGCUUACCAAGGCAACGAUGCGUAGCCGACCUCAUAGGGUGAUAGGCCACACUGGAACUGAGACACGGUCCAGACUACUACGGGAGGCAGCAGUAGGGAAUCUUCCGCAAUGGGCGAAAGCCUGACGGAGCAACGCCGAGUGAGUGAUGAAGGUCUUCGGAUCGUAAAACUCUGUUACUAGGGAAGAACAAAUGUGUAAGUAACUAUGCACGUCUUGACGGUACCUAAUCAGAAAGCCACGGCUAACUACGUG